UGGGGAAUAUUGCGCAAUGGGCGGAAGCCUGACGCAGCGACGCCGCGUGGGGGAUGACGGCCUUCGGGUUGUAAACCUCUUUCAGCAGGGACGAAGCGCAAGUGACGGUACCUGCAGAAGAAGCACCGGCCAACUACGUCACAGCAGCCGCGGUAAUACGUAGGGAGCAAGCGUUGUUCGGAUUUACUGGGCGUAAAGGGCGCGUAGGCGGCGCGGUAAGUCACUUGUGAAAUCUCUGAGCUUAACUCAGAACGGCCAAGUGAUACUGCAGUGCUAGAGUGCAGAAGGGGCAAUCGGAAUUCUUGGUGUAGCGGUGAAAUGCGUAGAUAUCAAGAGGAACACCUGAGGUGAAGACGGGUUGCUGGGCUGACACUGACGCUGAGGCGCGAAAGCCAGGGGAGCAAA
rnacentral:rRNA from 1 species